rnacentral:lncRNA from 1 species
GAUAAAUUUAGACCUGGUCCUGAGAAGAGUCAUGGAUGUUGGGUUGUGACCCAGUCAUCUCAGCUGUCUCGACAGUGAAGGGUUCCUGGAGAAUAUCACCACCAGACUGGAUUCGAGGGACUUGGUUCUCUUGAAGUUCUUGGCCAACUUGGCGCGCCUCAUCUUGAUCAUCUAGGCGCGCCUCGAGAGGAGAAGGUUGUUCCAGAAAUUUCUUGGCAGAGUCAGACGCAGCCUCCAGUUCAAUUUCCAACCUCCUCUCCUCGAUGGCCUGGGCCUGUUCCACUUUGAACUCUUCAAUCCAUGUUCUGGUUGCAGGGACAAAUUUGCUCCAGUCAUAGUCUGGGUCUACGGCAAGAAAGCCAGUGACAUAACUCCUGAAUCCAUCCGCAUAAGCAAGGCGGCUGGCCUCAGCUUGUUGCCCCUCCAAUUCUUCAACUUUCUUUUCCAAAGAGACAACUGUCUCACCAGCAUUGGACAAAUCUUGGGCUGUCUUGUUCAGUUCCACCCUGAGGUUGUCUGCAUCUGAUUUUAAUCUGGAAAUAUCUUUAACAGCUCUGUUUUUGAACUUUUCCAACUCUGUCUUAUCCUUCUCAGCCUCAGAUAACUUCUUCUUUAACCUGGUAUUCUCUUCCUUAGCCGUAUCAAGGCUCGCCCUGAGUUUCUCAGUAUCCGAAGGAUUACAAGUCAGAUGAAAAAACAGCUCAGCUGCGGC